GAAUACGAAUGGGUUGAUAAUAUCAAACUUUUUUUCAGACUAUAGUUUUAUGUUUU
rnacentral:tRNA from 1 species